rnacentral:rRNA from 1 species
UACAGAGGGUGCAAGCGUUGUUCGGAAUUAUUGGGCGUAAAGCGCGUGUAGGCGGCUUGUUAAGUCGGGUGUGAAAGCCCUCAGCUCAACUGAGGAAGUGCGCCCGAAACUGGCGAGCUUGAGUGUCGGAGAGGAUGGCGGAAUACCCCAAGUAGAGGUGAAAUUCGUAGAUAUGGGGUGGAACACCGGUGGCGAAGGCGGCCAUCUGGACGACAACUGACGCUGAGGUGCGAAAGCGUGGGGAGCAAACAGG